UGUACCAAGAAAUCGUGAAAGCAACUGCGGUGCUGCGUUUGUGUCGCUGUGCACCUGUGAACCGUACGUGACAAUAGACAGACAGCGUUAGCCGUUAUUCCAAAUCUACAGCUUUUAUAUUUUCCUCGUAGUAGCUGUUCGAACGCUCUCAGCCUCUAUUAGCAGAGGGGACACUUUCCGAGACAACCACAAUGAGAAAGCAGCUUUUUGCUUUACUUCUCUUUUCAACGUCUCUGAGCGCGUUGGAAGGUAAUCUCAGGACCAUCAGAAGGGGACUCGCUGGUCUCAAGUAUGCUACGCACAUUGGAACACGUCAUCGCAAUCAAACAAAACGACGUAAUGAAGAAAGCAUCGCAAAAUUUUUGUCUACAGCGGAGCCAAUAUAGUUAUAUAAAACCACCGGAGAUCUAAACCGCGAAUGUGAAGUGGAUCAAAUGAAGAAUAUCAAUCAAAUUUCAGUUCUUUUAUUGCGAUCACGUUACGAAAAUGGCAAAAGGUAUUCCGUAUAAGCAGACGGAAGAUGUUGUGUAUCUUAGUACGAAGUUAAGAUGAGCUGUGAUUAAGGUUACCAUAUUUCCCGGAAACCAACCAAUCUAUGACCUCAGAGUACGAAACUCCUCCAUCAUCCAGGGCCCUAGCCGCGGCUGCAUGCGAAAGUUUUCCAAGCUCACUAAUAAACCACAUAGUAUUUAUGA
rnacentral:lncRNA from 1 species